rnacentral:lncRNA from 1 species
GGGGCCAGUCAUGUCUUUAUGAAAUAAUUAUAAUUUUAUAAUAUCAUUAUAAAUUAUAAAGUCUUAUUGGCUUUAUGCUUUAUAUGAUUUACAUCAUACCUUAAAAUAUUAUGGAUACUCUUAAGUCAUUUUGAUAUCACUAUUUUAAAAUGACAUCAUAUAAUAUCAAUUAAUCCCUAUAUUGACUUGUAAACUAGCACACUCACAAACAAAAAAGUAAUAAUAAUUUCUGCA